rnacentral:rRNA from 1 species
GUCCACGCCCUAAACUAUGAUCACUCGUUGUUGGCGAUACACAGUCAGCGACUAAGGGAAACCAUUAAGUGAUCCACCUGGGGAGUACGACCGCAAGGUUGAAACUCAAAGGAAUUGACGGGGCCCGCACAAGCGGAGGAGCAUGUGGUUUAAUUCGAUGAUACGCGAGGAACCUUACCUGGGCUUGAAAGUUAGUGACCGCUCCUGAAAGGGAGCCUUCCGCAAGGACACGAAACUAGGUGCUGCAUGGCUGUCGU